AAGGGUUUUCGGGUAGGGGGAACUGCGGAGGACAUUAUCGAACUAUAAGCGGAGGUUGUCGCUGGCUCCCCGGAGGGCAUGUGCCGCCCGAGCUCUUAAUCCACUUACACCAGUGAACUCUUUGUGGGGAAACCGUCCGUCCUCCGUGGGGGGCGGAGGGGAUUCUCAUGUAUUAUUCCACAUACGCAUGUCUUCAGAAUGUCUUGAUGUUGCUCCAACGCAAUCAUAUAUAUAUACAACUUUCAACAACGGAUCUCUUGGCUCUCGCAUCGAUGAAAAACGCAGCGAAAUGCGAUAAGUAAUGUGAAUUGCAGAUUUUCAGUGAAUCAUCGAAUCUUUGAACGCACCUUGCCUCCUUGGUAUUCCGAGGAGAUGCCUGUUUGAGUGUCAUUAAAUUCUCAACUUCACCGAUUUGAUUCGAGUGGAAGCUUGGAGUUUGGAAUGUGCUGGCCCUCGCUGGGGUCGGCUCCUCUUUAAAUGCAGCAGCGGAGUCAUCUUUUGACCUUGCGCAUUGGGGUGAUAUCAUUUUUGCCCUUGGCCUCAAGGUUUGGUCCCUUACAAAUGGUUUAUUGGAAAAUGAAAUGGUUGACCUCAAUCAGGUAGGAUUACCCCCUAACUUAAGCUUAUCAUUAAC
rnacentral:rRNA from 1 species